rnacentral:rRNA from 1 species
AUUGAACGCUGGCGGCAUGCCUUACACAUGCAAGUCGAACGGCAGCACGGGUGCUUGCACCUGGUGGCGAGUGGCGAACGGGUGAGUAAUACAUCGGAACAUGUCCUGUAGUGGGGGAUAGCCCGGCGAAAGCCGGAUUCAUACCGCAUACGAUCUACGGAUGAAAGCGGGGGACCUUCGGGCCUCGCGCUAUAGGGUUGGCCGAUGGCUGAUUAGCUAGUUGGUGGGGUAAAGGCCUACCAAGGCGACGAUCAGUAGCUGGUCUGAGAGGACGACCAGCCACACUGGGACUGAGACACGGCCCAGACGCCUACGGGAGGCAGCAGUGGGGAAUUUUGGACAAUGGGCGAAAGCCUGAUCCAGCAAUGCCGCGUGUGUGAAGAAGGCCUUCGGGUUGUAAAGCACUUUUGUCCGGAAAGAAAUCCUUGGCCCUAAUACGGUCGGGGGAUGACGGUACCGGAAGAAUAAGCACCGGCUAACUACGUG